rnacentral:rRNA from 1 species
AGCAGUCGAGCGACGGAGAGAGCUUGCUUCUCUGAUGUUAGCGGCGGACGGGUGAGUAACACGUGGAUAACCUACCUAUAAGACUGGGAUAACUUCGGGAAACCGGAGCUAAUACCGGAUAAUAUUUUGAACCGCAUGGUUCAAAAGUGAAAGACGGUCUUGCUGUCACUUAUAGAUGGAUCCGCGCUGCAUUAGCUAGUUGGUAAGGUAACGGCUUACCAAGGCAACGAUGCAUAGCCGACCUGAGAGGGUGAUCGGCCACACUGGAACUGAGACACGGUCCAGACUCCUACGGGAGGCAGCAGUAGGGAAUCUUCCGCAAUGGGCGAAAGCCUGACGGAGCAACGCCGCGUGAGUGAUGAAGGUCUUCGGAUCGUAAAACUCUGUUAUUAGGGAAGAACAUAUGUGUAAGUAACUGUGCACAUCUUGACGGUACCUAAUCAGAAAGCCACGGCUAACUACGUGCCAGCAGCCGCGGUAAUACGUAGGUGGCAAGCGUUAUCCGGAAUUAUUGGGCGUAAAGCGCGCGUAGGCGGUUUUUUAAGUCUGAUGUGAAAGCCCACGGCUCAACCGUGGAGGGUCAUUGGAAACUGGAAAACUUGAGUGCAGAAGAGGAAAGUGGAAUUCCAUGUGUAGCGGUGAAAUGCGCAGAGAUAUGGAGGAACACCAGUGGCGAAGGCGACUUUCUGGUCUGUAACUGACGCUGAUGUGCGAAAGCGUGGGGAUCAAACAGGAUUAGAUACCCUGGUAGUCCACGCCGUAAACGAUGAGUGCUAAGUGUUAGGGGGUUUCCGCCCCUUAGUGCUGCAGCUAACGCAUUAAGCACUCCGCCUGGGGAGUACGACCGCAAGGUUGAAACUCAAAGGAAUUGACGGGGACCCGCACAAGCGGUGGAGCAUGUGGUUUAAUUCGAAGCAACGCGAAGAACCUUACCAAAUCUUGACAUCCUUUGACAACUCUAGAGAUAGAGCCUUCCCCUUCGGGGGACAAAGUGACAGGUGGUGCAUGGUUGUCGUCAGCUCGUGUCGUGAGAUGUUGGGUUAAGUCCCGCAACGAGCGCAACCCUUAAGCUUAGUUGCCAUCAUUAAGUUGGGCACUCUAAGUUGACUGCCGGUGACAAACCGGAGGAAGGUGGGGAUGACGUCAAAUCAUCAUGCCCCUUAUGAUUUGGGCUACACACGUGCUACAAUGGACAAUACAAAGGGCAGCGAAACCGUGAGGUCAAGCAAAUCCCAUAAAGUUGUUCUCAGUUCGGAUUGUAGUCUGCAACUCGACUACAUGAAGCUGGAAUCGCUAGUAAUCGUAGAUCAGCAUGCUACGGUGAAUACGUUCCCGGGUCUUGUACACACCGCCCGUCACACCACGAGAGUUUGUAACACCCGAAGCCGGUGGAGUAACCUUAGAGCAGCC